rnacentral:rRNA from 1 species
AUGGGUAGGGGAGCUUCCCAUACGGGUUGAAGCAUGACCGUAAGGACAUGUGGACAGUAUGGGAGUGAGAAUGUUGGCAUGAGUAGCGAGAUGUGGGUGAGAAUCCCACAGGCCGUAAACCCAAGGUGUCCAGGGGAAGGUUCGUCCGCCCUGGGUUAGUCGGGACCUAAGCUGAGGCCGAAAGGCGUAGGUGAUGGACAACAGGUUGAUAUUCCUGUACUACCGAUAACCGUUUGAGAGA